rnacentral:misc_RNA from 1 species
GGGCCUUAUACGAUAUCCCAAGUCGUACCACGUGAUACCAUACCCUUUAGAAGACGAGAAACAGUGAAGUGGCACGUGCCCUUAUCUAUUUAAAGCUGAAGAAUGGACGCUGAUGUUUUAAGACAUAGUGUUGCAAUUAGAUUGCUUGAAAGCUAAAUGCAAAAUACUGACACGUUUCAGAGAAAAUUCUAGAAUAAAAUUAACGCGACAGAAAGUACUUAACUUUCUGUUUCUUUCUCUUACACUCUUUUUCAUAUAACAUUUUUCGAUCAGAAUUGCACUGAAACGCCUGUUAUGUUUUUGCAUUGUUCUUAUAGAUACAGUAACAGCAGUUCUUUAUGUAUGGAGGGGGAAUAUAAUUGAAUCAUUAUAAGCUUACAACAUGGGGUAGCAUGAUUAGGCCACAGGUGCCCUUUUGUUUACGAAAUGUUGAUGCAUGAAAGUGAUCUUUGACAUGACUGAGGCUAUUGUUUACUAAAGGCUGGGUGUUAUAAUCUUGGAAAUAUUUUGCAUGUGUUUGAUUUAUUUUAUAAUAAAGUACGUAAGAAUC